CACGAAGUUAGCCGAUCCUUACUCGCACGGUACAUUCAUUUUUUUAUUCCCGUGCAACAGAGCUUUACGAACCGAAGUCCUUCAUCACUCACGCGGCGUCGCUGCGUCAGGGUUUCCCCCAUUGCGCAAUAUUCCCUA
rnacentral:rRNA from 1 species